rnacentral:piRNA from 1 species
UGUAAGGUCUGCUUCCUUGAGCCUCCAAUGU